rnacentral:rRNA from 1 species
GUAGUGAACCUGGCGUUAAGGAUCAUUACC